rnacentral:rRNA from 1 species
UACGAAGGGUGCAAGCGUUACUCGGAAUUACUGGGCGUAAAGGGCGCGUAGGCGGCCUGUUAAGUCGAACGUGAAAUCCCCGGGCUCAACCCGGGAACUGCGUCCGAUACUGGCAGGCUUGAAUCCGGGAGAGGGAUGCAGAAUUCCAGGUGUAGCGGUGAAAUGCGUAGAUAUCUGGAGGAAUACCGGUGGCGAAGGCGGCAUCCUGGACCGAGAUUGACACUGAUGAGCGAAAGCCAGGGGAGCAAACGGG